rnacentral:rRNA from 1 species
AUUGAACGCUGGCGGCAGGCCUAACACAUGCAAGUCGAGCGAGCGGCGGGCGGGUGAGUAAUGUCUGGGACUCUGCCUGAUAGAGGGGGAUAACUACUGGAAACGGUAGCUAAUACCGCAUACUAUCGGAUGACCCCAGAUGGGAUUAGCUUGUAGGUGGGGUAAAGGCUCACCUAGGCGACGCUCCCUAGCUGGUCUGAGAGGAUGAUCAGCCACACUGGAACUGAGACACGGCCCAGACUCCUACGGUAGGCAGCAGUGGGGAAUAUGGCACAAUGGGCGCAAGCCUGAUGCAGCCAUGCCGCGUGGAUGAAGAAGGCCUGAGGGUUGUAAAGUACUUUCAGCGGGGAGGCGUUACCCGCAGAAGAAGCACCGGCUAACUCCGUGCCAGCAGCCGCGGUAAUAC